AAUCUACCUCUAACUGAGGGAUAGCCCAGAGAAAUUUGGAUUAAUACCUCAUAGCAUUAUAAUAAGGCAUCUUUUUAUAAUUAAAACUCCGGUGGUUAGAGAUGAGUAUGCGUCCUAUUAGCUAGUUGGUAAGGUAACGGCUUACCAAGGCUACGAUAGGUAGGGGGCCUGAAAGGGUGAUCCCCCACACUGGUACUGAGACACGGACCAGACUCCUACGGGAGGCAGCAGUGAGGAAUAUUGCACAAUGGAGGAAACUCUGAUGCAGCCAUGCCGCGUGCAGGAUGAAUGCCCUAUGGGUUGUAAACUGCUUUUAUACAAGAAGAAACAUCAGUACGUGUACUGAUUUGACGGUAUUGUAUGAAUAAGCACCGGCUAACUCCGUGCCAGCAGCCGCGGUAAUACGGAGGGUGCAAGCGU
rnacentral:rRNA from 1 species